AGUGGGGAAUAUUGCACAAUGGGGGAAACCCUGAUGCAGCCAUGCCGCGUGUAUGAAGAAGGCCUUCGGGUUGUAAAGUACUUUCAGUCGUGAGGAAGGGUGUGUAGUUAAUAGCUGCAUGCCUUGACGUUAGCGACAGAAGAAGCACCGGCUAACUCCGUGCCAGCAGCCGCGGUAAUACGGAGGGUGCGAGCGUUAAUCGGAAUUACUGGGCGUAAAGCGCAUGCAGGCGGUCUGUUAAGCAAGAUGUGAAAGCCCGGGGCUCAACCUCGGAACCGCAUUUUGAACUGGCAGACUAGAGUCUUGUAGAGGGGGGUAGAAUUUCAGGUGUAGCGGUGAAAUGCGUAGAGAUCUGAAGGAAUACCGGUGGCGAAGGCGGCCCCCUGGACAAAGACUGACGCUCAGAUGCGAAAGCGUGGGGAGCAAACAGGAUUAGAUACCCUGGUAGUCCACGCCGUAAACGAUGUCUACUUGAAGGUUGUGGCCUUGAGCCGUGGCUUUCGGAGCUAACGCGUUAAGUAGACCGCCUGGGGAGUACGGUCGCAAGAUUAAAACUCAAAUGAAUUGACGGGGGCCCGCACAAGCGGUGGAGCAUGUGGUUUAAUUCGAUGCAACGCGAAGAACCUUACCUACUCUUGACAUCCAGAGAAGUGACCAGAGAUGGUUUCGUGCCUUCGGGAACUCUGAGACAGGUGCUGCAUGGCUGUCGUCAGCUCGUGUUGUGAAAUGUUGGGUUAAGUCCCGCAACGAGCGCAACCCUUAUCCUUGUUUGCCAGCACAUAAUGGUGGGAACUCCAGGGAGACUGCCGGUGAUAAACCGGAGGAAGGUGGGGACGACGUCAAGUCAUCAUGGCCCUUACGAGUAGGGCUACACACGUGCUACAAUGGCGUAUACAGAGGGCUGCCAACCAGCGAUGGUGAGCGAAUCCCACAAAGUACGUCGUAGUCCGGAUCGGAGUCUGCAACUCGACUCCGUGAAGUCGGAAUCGCUAGUAAUCGUGAAUCAGAAUGUCACGGUGAAUACGUUCCCGGGCCUUGUACACACCGCCCGUCACACCAUGGGAGUGGGCUGCACCAGAAGUAGAUAGCUUAACCUUCGGGAGGGCGUUUACCACGGUGUGGUUCAUGACUGGGGUG
rnacentral:rRNA from 1 species